CCUACGGGCGGCAGCAGUAGGGAAUAUUGCUCAAUGGGGGAAACCCUGAAGCAGCAACGCCGCGUGGAGGAUGAAGGUUUUCGGAUUGUAAACUCCUUUUGUUAGAGAAGAUAAUGACGGUAUCUAACGAAUAAGCACCGGCUAACUCCGUGCCAGCAGCCGCGGUAAUACGGAGGGUGCAAGCGUUACUCGGAAUCACUGGGCGUAAAGCGCGCGUAGGCGGGAUAGCAAGUCAGAUGUGAAAGCCUAUGGCUUAACCAUAGAACUGCAUUUGAAACUGUUAUUCUAGAGUAUGGGAGAGGUAGGUGGAAUUCUUGGUGUAGGGGUAAAAUCCGUAGAGAUCAAGAGGAAUACUCAUUGCGAAGGCGACCUGCUAGAACAUAACUGACGCUGAUGCGCGAAAGCGUGGGGAGCAAACAGGAUUAGAUACCCCGGUAGUC
rnacentral:rRNA from 1 species